GACGAACGCUGGCGGCGUGCUUAACACAUGCAAGUCGAACGGAAAGGCCCUGCUUUUGUGGGGUGCUCGAGUGGCGAACGGGUGAGUAACACGUGAGUAACCUGCCCUUGACUUUGGGAUAACGUCAGGAAACUGGGGCUAAUACCGGAUAGGAGCUCCUGCGGCAUGGGGGGGGUUGGCAAGUUUCGGCGGAUGGGGAUGGACUAGCGGCUUAUCAGCCGGUUGGUGGGGUAGUGGCUUACCAAGGCGUUGACGGGUAGCAGGCCUGAGAGGGUGACCGGCAACAUUGGGACUGCGAUGCGGCCCAGAAUCCUACGGGAGGCAGCAGUGGGGAAUAUUGCACAAUGGGCGGCAGCCUGCUGCAGCAACGCCGCGUGCUGGAUGACGGCCUUCGGGUUGUCAACCGCUUUCGCCUGCGACGAAGCGUGAGUGACGGUAAUGGGUAAAGAAGCACCGGCUAACUACGUG
rnacentral:rRNA from 1 species